UCAGAGCCCGGCUCCCCGCGCUCCGCCUACUCUUCGGACGACAGCGGCUGCGAGGGCGCACUCAGCCCCGCGGAGCGCGAGCUGCUCGACUUCUCCAGCUGGUUGGGGGGCUACUGAGCGCCCCGCGCCGCGAGCAGCCCAGCCCUGGACGCCUAGCGACGUCCGCGCUCAGCACCUGGGAGCCAGCACGGUGGACCGCCCGCGCCUCGCUCUCUGCCGUCCCGCGAGCCAAGCCACCACCCAGCCAGGACCCCCGCCGACGCUCCCCUGGGCGUCCAACCUGACUACGUACCAAUGUGGAAAUGGGUUCCGCCCAACACGGCCCGACCACCUCACCCCAGAGGCUCUCCACGGAGACCGGACGGGGCUGGGGCACUGACCCCCCGAGGUUUUCCUGACGGGAGAGAUUUAACGGCACAGAGUAUCUGCUUUUUGUACCUGAACUUGAACUGCCCAGGGACACUGGCAAUAUGAAGACUUAUUUUUGUGCAAAGACUCGUUAACUUGGAACAUGAUAAAGAUGGUCUCUCCCUGUCCAGCCGCCAGUACCUGGACUUUUCCAGCCUGGCCUAGAUCUGGCCGUGGCAGCCUUUGAGGGACAGGGUCCCUGGCUGGGGUCCCUAAGCAGCAGUGGGCUGACCUGGGUGGGGUUGGGGGGGGCUGUGCUGGGAAACCUGUUUUAGGGAAAAUGGACUAUGAAUAAACCAGUGCUGUGUA